GCCUCAGGCGGGGUGCGGAGCGCGGCCGGACGGAGGCAAAACCUGUUUCAGGGGUUCUGGAAGGUUCCCCUCUGGCACUUUACUGCGCCUCAUGCUCAGCAGCAGCAGCUACAGCGUGCCCCGAGGAGCUGGUGAGGUCUAGAUCGCUCCUGGCUACAGCUUUCUAGACCGUAGCUCCACAGACCUUUCCAAGUACCUCACGGCUGAGAUGAAAGCUGGGAAUUCCCAGCCCGUUUGUGAGUUUAGCGUGAAGGGAACGAUUUAGACAACUUGUUCGAGACCAGGACUACAAAUCGCAUGCAAGGUAUUCCGGAUAAAGAAGUGGACCUCACUUACAGAGCAAACAUUCUCAAGGUGGGAGAGGGAGAAAGUGAGAAGCAGAACGCCUUUGAAACACCUCUGAACAUGUUGAAGGUCUCCGUCUGAACCAGCUUAUGAUCUCCACUGUUUGUGACAACUGAAAAUAGAUGUUGGGUUUGUUCCCUUGCUUCUCAAGUGGAUUUAAGGAUUCUGAUAACACACAUCCAGCUAGAUGUCAAAGAUAACCACAUUUCUCUCAUCCCACUUCAUUACAAAGGCAAGUAAAAGAAUAAAUCUGUAACUCAGUUCA